CAACCAUAAAGUCGUAUACUUUUGUAACUUAAAUUAAUUUGUAACUAUGGCAAUUGCAGUUUUAUUGGCGGCACAGAAGUAAAACUGACCCGUUUAAAAACAAAGUACCAAAUGUAUAGACAUCUCAUUCGAGAAGAGAACAACAAUCGCAUUUUACACAACCAAUAGUAAUAAAAGUUUCACAGAAAUAUAAUCAAAAGUCGGUACACAUAAACGUUACUAAUUAUGUAACUAUGUAAGUACUUAUAGUACCUUUAUAUAUAAUAUAAUAAGAAUAACUAUUAGUUAGGCACGCUAAUUAUUAUAACCGUUAAGUACAGCGAAUCCUGGGUAAUAGUACAAUUGUUGGGUAACCGUUUUUGUUAUUAUUUUGAAUAUUAUUGCAUAAAUUAAAAAAAAAUCAGUGUGUUUGUUUAUAAGGUGCCAACGAUGAACGAUACAGCUUUAUAUAGAACGAUUCAAUCAGCUCGUAGUCACGAAAAAACUCUUGG